rnacentral:rRNA from 1 species
UGAGUACGAGACGCUAAGGCGUUGAAGCAGUCUAUGUCAGACUUCCAAGGAAAGCUCGCAAUGUCAUAGACAAAAAAUGCCUGUACCAUAACCGACACAGGUGGGUAGGUAGAGUAUACUAAGGGGCGCGAGAUAACUCUCUCUAAGGAACUCGGCAAAAUGACUCCGUAACUUCGGGAGAAGGAGUGCCUUAUUUUUAUAAGGUUGCAAUAACAAGAUCCAAGCAACUGUUUACCAAAAACACAGGUCUCCGCUAAGUCGUAAGACGAUGUAUGGGGGCUGACGCCUGCCCAGUGCCAGAAGGUUAAAGAAGUUGGUUAGUUUCGGCGAAGCUGAUGACUGAAGCCCUGGUGAACGGCGGCCGUAACUAUAACGGUCCUAAGGUAGCGAAAUUCCUUGUCGGGUAAGUUCCGACCCGCACGAAAGGCGUAAUGAUUUGGAUACUGUCUCGGAGAGGGGCUCGGUGAAAUAGACUUGUCUGUGAAGAUGCGGACUACCUGCACCUGGACAGAAAGACCCUAUGAAGCUUUACUGUAACUUGAGAUUGAAAUUGGACUUUAUUUGCGCAGUAUAGGUGGGAGACGUUGAGAAUAUUCUUGCGGGAAUAUUGGAGUCAUCAGUGAGAUACCACUCUUGUAAUGUUAGAUUUCUAACUUUGUAUCAUGAUCUGGUCAAAGGACAGUUUCAGGCGGGCAGUUUGACUGGGGCGGUCGCCUCCCAAACGGUAACGGAGGCGCACAAAGGUUUCCUCUGAACGUGUAGAAAUCGUAUCUAGAGUGUAAAGGCAUAAGGAAGCUUGACUGUGAGACCUACAAGUCGAGCAGGGACGAAAGUCGGUCUUAGUGAUCUGACGGUGCUGAGUGGAAAGGCCGUCACUCAACGGAUAAAAGUUACUCUAAGGAUAACAGGCUGAUCUCCCCCAAGAGUUCACAUCGACGGGGAGGUUUGGCACCUCGAUGUCGGCUCAUCGCAUCCUGGGGCGGUAGUACGUCCCAAGGGUUGGGCUGUUCGCCCAUGAAAGCGGUACGCGAGCUGGGUUCAGAACGUCGUGAGACAGUUCGGUCCAUAUCCGGUGUAGGCGUUAGAAUAUUGAGAGGAGCCUUCUUUAGUACGAGAGGACCGAGAAGGACAUACCUCUGGUGUACCAGUUAUCGUGCCAACGGUAAACGCUGGGUAGCUAUGUAUGGAGUGGAUAACCGCUGAAAGCAUCUAAGUGGGAAGCCCACCUCAAGAUAAGUAUUC